AAAAAGCAACUCAGCGAAGUAGUAGACCUCAAAGUGUAAUAGAAGCGAGACAGAGUAGUUUGGGUAGAAAGGCUGGCGAUCCACAAUCCCUGCAUAUCCCUACAUGAAACUAAUCACUUGGAAUGUUAGGGGUUUGAAUAAGCUGUAUAAGCAGAAGGAGAUGAAUGAGUUUUUGACGGUGAAUAAAGUCAGUAUAAUAGCUAUAAUUGAACAUAGAGUUACAGAACAAGCAUCAAAGAAGAUUGUUGAUAGAAUAGCACCUUUAUGGAAAUGGAGCAACAACUACAACACCGGGAAACGAGGCAGGAUAUGGAUCUUAUGGAACCCUAACAUAGUUAGCUUCCAGUUAGAAACAGUACAUACUCAAUAUAUAUAUAUGGAAGGGUCUGCUGGCUAGAUAAAUGAAUAUACUUCAGCUUCACUACAACAUAUGGACUUCAUAAUGUUGGUGAUAGAAGGACUUUAUGGAAUAGGCUUAACAAAAUCAGUGGAUUGCAGCAGGAGCCUUGGCUAGUAAUAGGUGACUUCAAUGCAGUAUUAUCAGUAGAUGAUAGAAUAAAUGGCAACCCAAUACAUGAAUCAGAAGUGGUAGACUUUAGAGAAUUUAUGAGAAAUUGCAAUAUGACUAAAUUGAGAAGUGUGGGAAGGGAGUUUACAUAGACAAAUAACAACAUCUACAACAAGAUAGAUAGGGUGUGGUAAAUGUAGAAUGGAUGAAUAAUUUUCCACAAGUGGACGUUGUAGUUUGGAGCCCCUUUUCUCUGACCAUAGCCCUUUGAGUGUCGAAAAUGGUGGAUAAAUCAAAAAGAGGGGCAAAACCUUUCAGAUUCUUCAAUUACCUUGCAGAACAUGAAGACUUUACUGCUUUGGUAGAGGCAGGAUGGCAGGAACCUGUACAGGGGAACUACAUGAAGAGUGUUUGGGAAAAAUUGAAGAAUGUCAAGCAGGAACUUAAGAAGUUGCCUAAUACAUAAAUUAUUGAAAUUCAGAAAAAGUAUGUAACAUUAGGAAACAGCUAGUAGAGGUUCAAGAGCAAAUGAAAGACAUCAAUCAGCAUAGUAUUUUGGUAAAUCAGGAAAAGAAAUUAAGAGAGCAGCUGGAGAAAUGAGUGAAUACAGAGGAAAGUGCAGCUAAGCAAAAAUCAAGAAACCAAUGGUUACAAUUAGGAGACACGAACUCAGCUUAUUUCUUUGCCUCAGCAAAAAGUAGAAUGGCACAAAAUAAAAUUAGAAAUCUUGUAUCUAGCAAUGGAGAUAUGCUGCAGACAAAGGAUGAUAUCAGGAAAGAAAUAAUAGGCUUCUAUAAGCAAUUGCUAGGAUCAGCAGCAAAUCAUUUGCAUGCCAUAAAUCCUGAGAUAAUGAAGGAAGGUCAGAUCUUGAAUAGAGACAUGCAGCUGAUAUUGAUAGAACCCGUGACCAGGCAAGAGAUAAUGGAAGCAUUGAGGGACAUUGAUGACCAGAAAGCACCGGGGUGCGAUGGUUUUAACUGCCUAUUUUGCAAGAAGGCUUGGAAUACAAUAGGAGAGGAGAUAACUGAAGCAAUAUUACACUUUUUCUCAACAAAUGACAUGCACAAGCCUAUAAACUGCACCUACCAUCAAACUGCACCUCAGUCACCUUGAUUCCAAAAGUCAAGAGCCCAUCUACCAUCAAACAAUUUAGACCCAUCUCCUAUUGUACAGUUUUGUACAAAAUCAUAUCCAAAGUGCUCACAAAAAGACUUCAAAGUGUCAUAGAUCAUCUCAUUGACAAAAGUCAAUCUGCUUUCGUCCCUGGGAGGGUUAUCUAUGACAAUAUCAUUCUUAGCCAUGAGCUAAUUAAGGGAUAUGAUAGAAAGAGUGUCUCACCUAGAUGCAUGUUGAAUAUAGAUAUGCAAAAAGCAUAUGACUCGGUGGAGUGGACUUUCUUAGAACAAGUACUAAACUUCCUUGCCAAAUAUGUCGACUGGAUUAUGAUUUGUAUGACCAAUGUCUCUUAUUCCAUUCUGAUCAACAGGAUUCCAAGUCCCCCUUUUCCUGCAAAGAAAGGCCCGAGACAGGGUGAUCCAUUAUCCCCUUUCCUCUUUGUUUUGACGAUGGAGUACCUUAAUAGACAUUUGAGGACUCUGAGGCAUAAUCCUGAUUUCAACUAUCACCCUAAAUGUUCAAAACUUCAAAUAAUUCAGCUAGGUUUUGCAGAUGACCUACUGUUAUUUUGUAGAGGGGAUGUGAUUUCUGUACAACUAUUAUUCGGGUGUUUCUCUGAAUUCUCUAUGUGUUCUGGGUUGAUUGCAAAUAUUGAAAAGAGCUCUAUAUUUUUUGGUGGCAUUGGAAGGGAGGAGCAGAAUGAAAUCAUGAAUAUUUUGGGAUACUCUAAAGGGGAGUUGCCCAUCAAGUACCUUGAGGUACCACUGAGUUCAAAGAGACUGUCAGUUACUCAAUGUUACCCUCUGGUGGACAAGAUGAUUGGAAGAAUAACUUCAUGGACCGCAAAAUACCUUUCUUAUGCAGGCAAGCUACAAUUAAUUAAGAAUGUGUU
rnacentral:lncRNA from 1 species